rnacentral:tRNA from 1 species
GCAUUGGUGGUUCAGUGGCAGAAUUCUUGCCUUCCGUGCCAGAGAUCCAGGUUCAAUUCCCAGCCAAUCCA